rnacentral:misc_RNA from 1 species
AAGUCGUAACAAGGUUUCCGUAGGUGAACCUGCGGAAGGAUCAUUACAGAGAACUUGCCCUUCGGGGUAGAUCUCCCACCCUUUGUUUACAUUACCUUUGUUGCUUUGGCGGGCCCGUCCUACGACCACCGGCUUCGGCUGGUCAGUGCCCGCCAGAGGACCCCAAACUCUUUUGUUAAUGUCGUCUGAGUACUAUAUAAAUAGUUAAAACUUUCAACAACGGAUCUCUUGGUUCUG